AGGCGUCCUGUUAAGUCAGGCAACGAGCGAGACCCGCACUCUUAAUUGCCAGCAACACCUAGCGGUGGUUGGGUACAUUAGGAGGAUUGCCAGUGCCAAACCGGAGGAAGGAACGGGCAACGGUAGGUCAGUAUGCCCCGAAUGUGCUGGGCGACACGCGGGCUACAAUGGCCGAGACAGUGGGAUGCAACCCCGAAAGGGGGCGCUAAUCUCGGAAACUCGGUCGUAGUUCGGAUUGAGGGUUGAAACUCGCCCUCAUGAAGCUGGAUUCGGUAGUAAUCGCGCCUCAGAAGGGCGCGGUGAAUACGUCCUUGCUCCUUGCACACACCGCCCGUCAAAGCACCCGAGUGGGGUCCGGAUGAGGCCGGCGCAACGCCGGU
rnacentral:rRNA from 1 species